rnacentral:misc_RNA from 1 species
GCCUUCAAUAACGGAGGUCCUAAUGUGUCUAACACCUUUGUGAACAGUUUUUGGUACUUGGAUCAGCUUGGGAUGGCAGCCACAUAUCACACUAAAGUAUAUUGCAGGCAGACUUUUAUUGGUGGAAACUAUGGGCUCCUUGACACAAGUACAUUUGUCCCAAAUCCUGAUUAUUAUAGUGCACUUCUUUGGCAUCGGCUGAUGGGAAAAGGAGUUCUUGCUGUUAGCAACA